GGCUGGCGGGAUCGGUGGGCUUCGUGCGGACUCCGAGAGCCGCCUCUCGGUAACCCCGACUGGUUUAUGUAACAGAUCACCUAAGAAGACCUGCUGGACGACCAUGACAGGACUCUGCAAUCAGUAUCAAAAGGCACCAGUCCCUCCUGAGCGGGUAUAUGCAAUUUCACCGGCACGGGCAUAUGCAUUGCUACUUUCAACCGUCUGAAUUUCAGAGUAGCAUCACUGGAAAAUUUCACAUAGUGACUUGGAGGUUUAGAUGAUGUGCUUUUCAUUAUGCUUUUGUUAUGUUUUUCAACCGUUUCAUUGUUUUACCACUUGAAAAGAAAAAGAGAAAGUAAAAAAAGACUAAGCCUUGACUGAUCUUACUCUUGGUACUUAGUUCCACAAGUUCUUCUGUAGAGUCUCUGGACAAGCAGGAAAUCUGGGAUAUGUGUGGUGUAUGGUCUCAGUGCAAUUGAAACCCGGACAACUAUCUCUAACCCAAACCCUUGACCAUAGGGUGCAAAUACAAGAUUUAACCCCUCGAAUGACCUCUUGAACCCAUCAGUUACCAGGCUGCUCCUUGUCGCAUCACACCUUUAUGCACCAAGCAAAGAGAUAUGCUGGAGGGAAGAUUCCUCUUCUUAAACUUGUACUUUAUUCAAGUUCCUGGUCUUUUAAUCUCCUUCCAAGAGGCAGGGAGACGGAAAAGAGAGAGAAAAAAAGACAGACAUUAUUAGUGUUUUGUAACAAGACUAAUCAGUUACUAAGAUGAGAAUACCACUUUUCUGCUGUGCCUUCCACAUACAAAGUUGUCACAGAAUUUCUGUGGCAGGAGCAAGGAUAUACCAGUGUAGUUACUUGUGUAUAAGGUGUUGGAGAUUUAGUGUCUGAAAAAAGUGGUAUCGUUGUCAAGCAUAUUUGCACAGAAUAGAAUAUUCUUAGUUGGAA